AUGGACAGAACAGCUGACCCCGGUAAAUCCAAAGGUGGAGGAAUGUGUUUCAUGAUUAACAAGAAAUGGUGUGAUCCCAGGAAUAUCUCUACUCUGUCGCGCUCCUGCUCGCCUCAUCUGGAACAUUUAUCCAUUAUUUGCCGCCCAUUCUAUCUACCCAAGGUGUUUUCAUUGAUCAUCGUUACUGCUGUUUACAUCCCACCACAUGCAGCUCUUAUCAUCGCUGGGGACUUUAACAAAGGCAACCUCAGGCAGGUUAUGCCGAACUUUUAUCAACAUGUAUCCUCUCCAACCAGAGGACCGAAUACACUGGAUCAUUGCUACACUCAGUUUAAGCAUGCCUACAAAGCUCGCUCACUACCGGCUUUUGGCAAAUCGGCCCAUGCCACAAUUUUCCUCACACCGGAGUAUAAACAAAGGUUCGUUCAAGAAACCCCAGUGCAGAGGGUGGUGACGCACAGGUCCACCCACUCAGAAGCUAUACUACAGGCGGCUCUUGAUGACUUAGACUGGGACAGUCUUCGGGCAAUUUCAUCUGACGUCAGCGAGUUCACGGAUGUAGCAUUAAGCUUUGUAAACACGCUAGCCGAGCAAGCAACUGAAACAAUAACUAUAAGGACCUUCUCUAAUCAGAAACCAUGGGUGGACAGAACAAUCUGUGCAGCAGUAAACAAACGCACUGCUGCAUACAUCGCCAGUCUUUUGUCAGGUAAUAUGAACGAGUACAAAGCAUCAUGCUAUGCUCUCCGACGCACAGUAAGAGCCACCAAACACCGAUACAGGGAACAAAUAGAGUCGCAUUUACAGCUAAAUGACAGCAAUAACGGGAACUAUGUAAGGCUGCUAUUUAUCGAUUAUAGCUCAGCUUUCAAUACUUUAGUCCCCAUCAAGCUUGUUUUUAAACUCAUAGACCUCGGUCUAAACUCUUCACUCAGCGACUGGAUUCAAGACUUCCUCACCGGCAGACCUCAAGUGGUGAAAGUAGGCCAGUUCAUCUCCAGCUCCAUCACCCUGAACAUAGGAGCCCCACAGGGCUGUGUCAUGAGUCCCCUGCUCUACUCUCUCUAUACACAUGACUGUGUCUUCCCACAGCUCCACAUCUAUAGUCUAAUUUGCUGA
ensembl:lncRNA